CACCGCGGUUAUACGAGAGGCCCAAGUUGAUAGGCACCGGCGUAAAGCGUGGUUAAGGUUAACACAAACUAGAGCCGAACACCAUCAAAGCUGUUAUACGCACCCGAUAGUAUGAAGAUCCGCCACGAAAGUGACUCUAACCAUACCCCUGAAUCCACGAAAGCUAUAAAA
rnacentral:rRNA from 1 species